rnacentral:lncRNA from 1 species
UAGAAGAUUAAAAGAGGAAGGAUACUUUUAUAAGGAUUUCUGUCCUUAAUUAAUCAAAUGGACCCUUUAGAGAAUGAAGCAUCCUAAAGUCUCAAGCUUAAGUGGUCUAUGAAAGACCUUCUCCACAUCCUCCUCCCAUUCCAUGCCUUCAGGAUUAGGAUAGGGAACAGCAGGUCCUAAACACAGAUAGGAACUGAGAAAAGAUUGCCUUUGUUUCACCUAUUAAUUCAUCUUGUUAGUAUGCACAUUCUGGAGUGAGGACUGAGAUUCUGCAUUUCUAACAGGCUCCCAGGUUAUACCAGUUCUGCUUGACUGGUUAACACACUUCUGAGUAGCAAGGGUGUAGAUGACCCUAUGAAGUUUUAAUUUAUCAACCUUAAAAAAAAAAAGGAGGUGGGGGGCAGUACAGUGGUGGGCUGGUUAUUGUGCUUGCUGUAAGAAUUUAUGACUUAGGCACACAAACAACAAUGUAGAACAACACACAAAAUGUUGGCAUACAGUAGUAUAUUUUAAUUGAACUAUAAAAGCACUGAGCUAAUUUCUAACUGAACAAAUAAAGGAUAAUUAAGCCAGCAGCCUAAAGCACCUUCCUCUACUGUUAAUGGUAUUUAUGACUUUAUAACAGUAGUUUGCAAUGUUGACUAUGCAUUAGAAGCAGUAUUUUAUAAAUAAUUAAUCCCACUGGGUCCCACUUCCAGAGGAUUCUGAUUCAGUUCACCUGGGUUGGGGCCUGGUACUCUGUAGUUUUGGGGAGCCUUAUAGGUGUUUAUGGUGCAUAAUUGGGAUUGAGAACCACUUGCGUAGAG